GGAUGAACGCUGGCGGCGUGCUUAACACAUGCAAGUCGAACGGUGAAGGCGGAGCUUGCUCUGCUGGAUCAGUGGCGAACGGGUGAGUAACACGUGAGCAAUCUGCCCCUGACUCUGGGAUAAGCGCUGGAAACGGCGUCUAAUACUGGAUACGAGCUGCGAAGGCAUCUUCAGCAGCUGGAAAGAACUUCGGUCAGGGAUGAGCUCGCGGCCUAUCAGCUUGUUGGUGAGGUAACGGCUCACCAAGGCGUCGACGGGUAGCCGGCCUGAGAGGGUGACCGGCCACACUGGGACUGAGAAACGGCCCAGACUCCUACGGGAGGCAGCAGUGGGGAAUAUUGCACAAUGGGCGAAAGCCUGAUGCAGCAACGCCGCGUGAGGGACGACGGCCUUCGGGUUGUAAACCUCUUUUAGCAGGGAAGAAGCGAAAGUGACGGUACCUGCAGAAAAAGCGCCGGCUAACUACGUG
rnacentral:rRNA from 1 species